rnacentral:tRNA from 1 species
GCCGGGGUGGCGGAACUGGCAGACGCACGGGACUUAAAAUCCCGAGGCCCGCAAGGGUCGUGUGGGUUCGAUUCCCACCCCCGGCAC